rnacentral:lncRNA from 10 species
CACCAUGCCCAGCCGUGUGUCUGUUUCUUAAAGAUAUUAUACAUAUGUAUAUUAUAUAUAUGUAAUAUAAAUACAGAUAUCUAUCUAUUUUUUCCCUUGGUCCCUACAACAGGCUUAGAGAUGGAGUGCUAGCUAAUUGGAAUGAGGUCCUUUUCAAGGACCCCAGAAGCUUUGCUCUAAAUCCCAAUGCUGCCCCAACUUACUGUGUCACUUUGGACUCCUCUUCAUGUCAGUUUCCCCAUCUGUAAAAACGGGAUAUUGGAACUUGAAGUUCUUCAGGGGCCUUUCCAGCAGGAUGAGUCCUCACUACACCAAGGGUGGGAUGGGCAUUCGAGUCCUGGGGAUUUCCCUCCUCUCCCCAGUGCUGGAUCAUACGGCCUUCCAGGAGACGCUGGGAUGUAAGAUACUCUUGGAGGCUGGCUCUGAACUCGGGUGUCUGAAUCACAGGGCAAGGGUAGGCGUGGGCUGUGGCUAACAGCCAGAGUCACUUCCCUGGCCUAGCUUGGGGACCUGGGGAGGAGGAGGUAGCUCUGGACACCAGGGUUCUUCCCAUUGUGGGAGAGUGAGUGUUUUAGGGGGAGACCUGUCCCCCAGAUUAAAGAACUGGGAGCCCUA